rnacentral:rRNA from 1 species
UACAGAGGUCUCAAGCGUUGUUCGGAUUCAUUGGGCGUAAAGGGUGUGUAGGUGGCGCGCUAAGUCGGGUGUGAAAUUUCGGAGCUUAACUCCGAAACUGCAUUCGAUACGUGGCGUGUCUUGAGGGACUGGGAGAGGAGACUGGAAUUCAUGGUGUAGCAGUGAAAUGCGUAGAGAUCAUGAGGAAGACCAGUGGCGAAGGCGGGUCUCUGGACAGUUCCUGACACUGAGACACGAAGGCCAGGGGAGCAAACGGG